AAGCCUCUGCUCCUCCAAACCAUGGGGCACGCCAUCUCCGGCGAGGGCUUCUUCUGCCUCCAGUACCCGGAUGAUUCGAGGGAGGAGCCGCAGAUCCAGCUGGGGGCCAACGCGGCUGUGCUCUCCAUGCCUGCCGGCGCGCUCACCCAAGAGAUUCUACAAGUGGAGCUGCCACACCUCUUCGAGGGCGAAUGGGACUGGCAGAUCUCAGCUAUGGAGGGAGGGGCGUUCUCGGUGGUCUUCCCUGAUCCGGUGAUGCUCCGGAUGGCAACCAGGAGCGGCAAGUUGUUCCUCUCCCUCAACAACCUCAUGGUGGACAUCCGCGAUGCGGUCCUCGAC
rnacentral:rRNA from 1 species